rnacentral:rRNA from 1 species
CACGUAGGGCGCGAGCGUUGUCCGGAAUUAUUGGGCGUAAAGAGCUCGUAGGCGGUCUGUCGCGUCGGAUGUGAAAACCCAGGGCUCAACCCUGGGCCUGCAUUCGAUACGGGCAGACUAGAGUUCGGUAGGGGAGACUGGAAUUCCUGGUGUAGCGGUGAAAUGCGCAGAUAUCAGGAGGAACACCGGUGGCGAAGGCGGGUCUCUGGGCCGAAACUGACGCUGAGGAGCGAAAGCGUGGGGAGCAAACAGG